GGCCCCUUAGCUCAGUGGUUAGAGCAGGCGACUCAUAAUCGCUUGGUCACUGGUUCAAGUCCAGUAGGGGCCA
rfam:Serratia symbiotica genome assembly, type strain CWBI-2.3T, contig: SYMBAF_Contig_10